rnacentral:rRNA from 1 species
UGCAAAUCGAACGGAAAGGCCCCUUCGGGGGUACUCGAGUGGCGAACGGGUGAGUAACACGUGGGUAAUCUGCCCUGCACUUCGGGAUAAGCCUGGGAAACUGGGUCUAAUACCGGAUAGGACCUCAAGACGCAUGUCUUCUGGUGGAAAGCUUUUGCGGUGUGGGAUGGGCCCGCGGCCUAUCAGCUUGUUGGUGGGGUGAUGGCCUACCAAGGCGACGACGGGUAGCCGGCCUGAGAGGGUGUCCGGCCACACUGGGACUGAGAUACGGCCCAGACUCCUACGGGAGGCAGCAGUGGGGAAUAUUGCACAAUGGGCGCAAGCCUGAUGCAGCGACGCCGCGUGGGGGAUGACGGCCUUCGGGUUGUAAACCUCUUUCAGCAGGGACGAAGCGCAAGUGACGGUACCUGCAGAAGAAGCACCGGCCAACUACGUGCCAGCAGCCGCGGUAAUACGUAGGGUGCGAGCGUUGUCCGGAAUUACUGGGCGUAAAGAGCUCGUAGGUGGUUUGUCGCGUUGUUCGUGAAAACCGGGGGCUUAACCCUCGGCGUGCGGGCGAUACGGGCAGACUAGAGUACUGCAGGGGAGACUGGAAUUCCUGGUGUAGCGGUGGAAUGCGCAGAUAUCAGGAGGAACACCGGUGGCGAAGGCGGGUCUCUGGGCAGUAACUGACGCUGAGGAGCGAAAGCGUGGGAGCGAACAGGAUUAGAUACCCUGGUAGUCCACGCCGUAAACGGUGGGUACUAGGUGUGGGUUUCCUUCCUUGGGAUCCGUGCCGUAGCUAACG